GAAAAGUUUUAUUCUUGCUUAUAAAUUUAUUAAUAGUUUAUUUUACAUGUAAAUUUUUGUGUGAUUUAUUUAUUAUUUCUAAAAGAAUUUUAAAUUAUUUUUAUUCGCAGUAAUUAAUAUUAUUUAUUAAAGAAAUUUAGCAAUAGUAAUAUUAUAUAGUAUUGGUUAAAUUCGUGCCAGCUACCGCGGUUAUACGAAAGAUAUAAAUAAAUUUUAUUAGUAAUAGUUAAAUUGUAUUUUUACAAAAUAAAUUUAAUUUUAUUAAGUGAAAUUUUAAAAUUAAUAAUUUUUGUUUUAUAAUUAGAAUUGAGGCUAAAAAAUUUUAUAAAUAAACUAGGAUUAGAUACCCUAUUAUUUAAAAUGUAUAUAAAUAAAUACUAGAGUAGUAAUAGAUAUGUUCUUGAAACUUAAAGAAUUUGGCGGUAUUUUAGUCUAUUCAGAGGAAUCUGUUCUAUAAUCGAUAUUCCACGAUGAAUCUUACUUAAUUUUGUUUUUCAAUUUGUAUACCGCUGUUAUAGAAUAUUUUAUAAAAAAAAUAAUUUUCAAUAAUUUAAAUAAAAAUUAAUAUCAAGUCAAGGUGCAGUUUAUAAUUAAGUAGAAAUGGAUUACAAUAAAUAUAUUUAUGCGGAUAUAAAAUUUAAAUAUUUUAUUGAAGAUGGAUUUGAUAGUAAAAUUAUAAAUAUUAAUAAUUUGAUUUUAGCUCUAAAAUAUGCACAUAUCGCCCGUCGCUCUUAUUAUUAAAAUAAGAUAAGUCGUAACAUAGUAGAUGUACUGGAAAGUGUAUCUAGAAUGAC
rnacentral:ncRNA from 1 species